rfam:Populus trichocarpa scaffold_5_contig_144, whole genome shotgun sequence.
GAGUGACUAUGAUAUUGGCCUGGUUCACUCAGAUCACGACUUCAGAGCAAAGUGUCUUUCUUCUUCUUCUUUUUCUUCUUCUUCUUGUUUUAUGUUCGUUUGAUUUGAUUGAGCCGUGCCAAUAUCUCAGUACUCUUU